rnacentral:rRNA from 1 species
UACGUAGGGUGCGAGCGUUAAUCGGAAUUACUGGGCGUAAAGCGUGCGCAGGCGGUUCGUUGUGUCCGUCGUGAAAGCCCCGGGCUUAACCUGGGAACUGCGAUGGAAACUAGCGAGCCGGAGUGUGGCAGAGGGGGGUGGAAUUCCGCGUGUAGCAGUGAAAUGCGUAGAUAUGCGGAGGAACACCGAUGGCGAAGGCAAUCCCCUGGGCCUGCACUGACGCUCAUGCACGAAAGCGUGGGGAGCAAACAGG